UAAAUCACUGAAUUUCCCCCAAGGUAUUUCCCCAAGCUAGCCUAUAGAUGGCGCUGCAUUUUGUUAGUUAAACCACAUGGCCAAAUAUCAACCGCCAUUUUGUUCGCUUAGGAGACAGUGAUUUGUGAGAUGGUAUGUUGGGAGAGACGUCUACAGGUAUUCGUCCUUAAAAGCUCAUUUUUAUCGCCUUCACACUGGCAAAUCGUUGUUUACACAAGAUUUGACUGUAGAAGCUUUGAAAUGCACCGUUUCCCUAUGUGAGUGCCAGUGUGAUGGAGUGAAAGGAUCAGACCAUCUAGAACAGGACACAACAC